GCUUUUCUCUUGGCAUUCACCGCGUGCCUUAAUUGUAUUGAAAUUAAAUCAAGGUCCACUGUGAACACAAAGAGCGCAAAC
rnacentral:pre_miRNA from 1 species